rnacentral:rRNA from 1 species
UGGGGAAUAUUGGACAAUGGGCGAAAGCCUGAUCCAGCCAUGCCGCGUGUGUGAAGAAGGUCUUCGGAUUGUAAAGCACUUUAAGUUGGGAGGAAGGGCAGUAAAUUAAUACUUUGCUGUUUUGACGUUACCGACAGAAUAAGCACCGGCUAACUCUGUGCCAGCAGCCGCGGUAAUACAGAGGGUGCAAGCGUUAAUCGGAAUUACUGGGCGUAAAGCGCGCGUAGGUGGUUCGUUAAGUUGGAUGUGAAAUCCCCGGGCUCAACCUGGGAACUGCAUUCAAAACUGACGAGCUAGAGUAUGGUAGAGGGUGGUGGAAUUUCCUGUGUAGCGGUGAAAUGCGUAGAUAUAGGAAGGAACACCAGUGGCGAAGGCGACCACCUGGACUGAUACUGACACUGAGGUGCGAAAGCGUGGGGAGCAAACAGGAUUAGAUACCCAGUAGUCCCUGAGCGGGCUGGCAAGGCGCAU